GCUAUUAUUAUCUUCUGCGUGCUAGUGAAUGAAUUAACUCAGCAAGCUCUUCCUGACAGCUGUGAUAGCGUGCCAAGCACUGCAUUAGGGACUAGGGGUGGGGAUGAUGAAGGCAGGGGCUGCUCCUGUAGCUGAGAUCUGGGGUUGACCUUCGGAGUCAGUGUGAGGAGGUCAGAGAAUGACCGAUUUGGGUUUUAGCCUACUAACUGAUCACUGAGAGCAACCCCAUGAACAUGCUAAGCAGGAUUAAAUUUAUCAGUGUUGGGACAGCUCUGUGGAGUAGCUGGAGCCAUCCCUGCGUUUGCCGCCGGGGUUAGGGGAGAAAGAACUGCAAAGAGAGGUUCCUAUAAACCUUGCAUUCCUGAGAGUGGCUGCAUGUAAGCCCUUCCCAGCAGAGGUUGCUGACUAUCCCAAGGACUAUUCUAGUGCAGUGUGAGUGGAAGAAAGACCUUCAUUCUGGAGGAUGCUCUGCUUGGCCUGGAUGCUGCCCAUCAGAAGCCCCAGCAAGACUGUUUUCAGCAGGAAUUCCCCAGGUUUGAUGACAUCAUUCUGCUCGCUGUCCCAGUACUGAGUGUCCUCCAAGCCUCACUUUUCCCCCUGCGGUCCGGCAGAGAAUGGUGGCGUCACCCUAGAGCGAGGAUUUGCAGGAUUCCUCUGCUUGCUCUUCACAGUCCCUGAAGGAUUUUGUUAGUUCUCCAUUACUUUUGUUACCUGAGACCCAUCUUUUCAUCCUGUUCCUCCUCUUCCUUGACGACCUGGGAUGUUUCCACACUGAGACAAAGAGGAAGAGACACAUCUAAGCAAUUCUCUACAGAUAGUCUCACUCAUCUCUGUCCUGAGUUCUCCUUGUGACAAGUCCAAAAGCUUGGCCACAGUCCUGAGGCAAAAAGUUUCAUGGAAACUGGUCUCUUGGAGUCUUUGGCAUCCCAUAACAUGGAUGUGGUCCAGAUAUGUCCUUGCAAUAGUCGUGAAGGGUUUAGUGUGCUUUCUUUCAAUAUUGUUUUUAUUAUAAGUGCCUCCAAGGAAUGAUUUGACAAAUAGCUAAGUUAGAUUGAACAUUGCUUCCUGGCCUCUACCAGUGUUCCAAUAUCCUAGGAAAUUGUUGAGCUGACCUUGGGCUUUGAAUUUCGUAAGAAUGUUACUUAUUCAGACAAAAUGCCUCCAGUGUUGAAAGAGAGAUAGUGAAAGAAAUCAGGCAUUGCAGUUUACUGGUUAAGAGUAGAAAUCUCAGAACAAGUUCUACAAAAUAAACUUGGAAUUCUCACUACAGUCAGGUAUGGCAGACUACAUUACAUAUUAAAAGAAAGUUGGUGGGCUCCUCUGUUAAAUGGAGGUUCCCUAUGGAUACUUAGAAUAACAACCAAGUCACACCCAUAUGCAGGAAUUUACAAUGGUCUAGGAAAAAGGAGGGUUGUGGUUUAAGAAGGAACUAGAGUAAAUACUUAGAAUAACAGCCAAGUCACUUCCAUAUACAGAAAUUUACAAUGGCCUAGGGAGAAGGUGGAUUAUACGAUAGACUAGAAUUGGAACUAUAGCUAGGGCGUGAAACCCUUGCCCCUGGCUUCUAAGAAUAAGCUGACCUUAGGUAGGUAUGAUUUUUAUCUCAGUUGUAAACACUGCCUGGUUCUUGCUAGCUUUUAUGUAUACAUUCCUCUGUUUUGUGUCAUUAUGCAUCAGAUGACUUCAAUGUAUCUUGGCUGAUGUGUCACCUGACUUCCUUGUUUUCUUCUGUAAUAUAAGUCUAAUGCUUGCUUUGAGACAUUACAUUCAGAUUCAACACUC
rnacentral:lncRNA from 1 species